rnacentral:tRNA from 1 species
AAGAUAUUAGUAACAAAAAUUACAUAACUUUGCCAUAGUUAAAUUACAGGUUUAAGUCCCGUAUAUCUUA